CGCCAAGUCCGAGGCUCCGGCGCUCACCGGAGCCUGGUGCAAAAAGGGA
rnacentral:sRNA from 1 species